GCCGCGGUAGUAUAGACCGGUCAUGCAAGUUCGUCCUGCGCUGAAAGUAUGCGGGCCUUUCGAGCCCGUGACCCGGGUUCAAAUCCCGGCCGCGGCA
rnacentral:tRNA from 1 species